GUUACCUUCAGGUUUUUCACUUGCGAUUGGUGUCGAUCUGUCUGCGUCGUUUCUACCGUUUUUCUACACUCAUCGCAUUUCGUACACUGAAGUCGUUGGCUGUGCACGUCAUUUAUAAUGAAAAUCGCAGAGCCACCCAACCCAUGUAAUUAGGUGACUAUCGUAAUCUGAAACAUGGGUCACCAUAGGAUACACAAGAUAACGGGGAACCUUCCUUUCAAGGAUUCUAGGAAGGACUGCUGUUGCUACUCUCCUACAUGAAGCGCGGAAAAUUUGGACGAGAAUUGCUAUGCAGAAUAUACAGAGAAAACCUACAUAAAGAAACCAGAAGUACUACAGUGAGCAAACAUCUCUUCUGCACAGUUUGCAUGAAGGGAGCAGUGACGCGCUAACGCAAGCUGACAAGGGAGUAGGUUCAAUGGAUACGUGGAACAAGUGACAUACUCUAUUGGCUCAAACUUCCUAUACACCGGCUGCACUGGCUGAAAAUGUGAAACUCCAUGGAGUACCACGGAGACGCAAUCGCAGUGAAAGAAUCAUGUCCAACUUGAGGAAAAUUAUGAUCAUCUCGAGUCUUUUGGACGUUUCAAUCUUUACAAUAUGAUACUGACAGAUAGUGGAAUUCGUAUGUACAUAAAUUAAAAGAGGUACGUAGAUAGGACAUUGAGAGAGUACCUUCUGCGGAUCAAGUAUUGUAUGCGUUGAGAUACAUAUACUUUUCUUUUGUUAGAAGGAGAUUAUGAACAAUUUUUUGAUGGGGGACCAAGAGAUUUGAUUGCUUGGUCCCUCAAACCGGAUUGUAACAAAUUAAAAAAAAAAUAAUUUUAUGUUGUAUUACUAUUUCGUUUUGCAGGUAAAGAGAACAAAAUUGACUUACCAAAGUCAUCAUUGUGCUGCACAAUAUCAAAGGAACUAGUAGUGAUCGCAUGUCUGUCUAUUAAUGGUAUAAUUUUUGUUUAAUCCUAGGCUUAAUAGAAGUGAUCAGCAAUUAUAUUUAUUUAGGCAAAUUGUGUGAAUUUGAAUAUAUUAUAUCAAAUAUAAUAAAAAAAUUAUACAAUUUUAA